AAACAGAACCUCAGUGUCCCAUUGACACCCUUUCCUAUGCAAAUCUCCUAAUUUGAAACUGCUGCUGAAAACGGGCGAAUCUCAACAAAGCUUAUAGUUGACGUCAACUCUCCCAAAAAUCGGAAC